ensembl:lncRNA
AUAGAGUGCUAAACCUGCAGAUAAAAUAGAGUGCUAACCUGCAGAUAAAAUAGAGUGCUAACCUGCAGAUAAAAUAGAGUGCUAACCUGCAGAUCAAAUAGAGCGCUAACCUGCAGAUAAAAUAGAGCGCUAACCUACUGGUAAAAUAGAGCGCUAACCUGCUGGUAAAAUAGAGCGCUAACCUGCUGGUAAAAUAGAGCGCUAACCUGCAGGUAAAAUAGAGCGCUAACCUGCUGGUAAAAUCAGUCAGAUAAUGGUAAUUUGGUUCAUUUCUCCCCCUCCCUGUAAGUUUGCUCUAUGGGCUGUCACUAUCCAGGCUAUCUUGAUGAAAAACAAGUGUGUGCCCUGUGGCCUAAAGCAAUGCCAAAGAUAGAGAGCUGAUAAAGAGAGGGAGGGCUGGGGUGUCUCAAUGAAGAGAGAGUGAGACUGUGAGAAGAAGAGGGGGGAGAGAGGGCUGUCUCAGUUCUCUCUGUCUACAGAAACAGCUGCUCUCCAUUGAUUACACUGGCAGUUACACUCCUAACAACCGUAUGUUUAGUGCAGAAUACUAGAGGUAAUCUUCAAUUAGACAAACCAACUGCUUUUAAAAAGAUGUACACUGCAAGGAGUAUAUGAAAUUAUAAAUAAAAAACAGAAUAAUAAUAUGUAUGCUUUCAUACAAUUUCAUAUGUGUAACCUGUCAAUGCAUUGAGGUGGUAACCUUGGUACAGUAUUUAACAUUCAGAGUGAGAUGUACACCAAGAUAUUGAUAGUCAUUCUUUGGUUUUUAUUUUUAAACAUUAUUUCACAAGUCAACAAACAUCGUACAAUAUCAAAAUCAGCUCUUAAACACAACUUUGGCUCUUGGUAUCACUAAGGUGUUGUAAUCAAAUGCGACUUCUUGCAAGGAAGAUGAGACCAGUCCACCAGUUUUAAGUUACCCUUUAAUGCAACUCCAGAUGACAUUGAGAGGUGUCAAUAGAACCCUUACCAUUGCUAAAACUCAGUAAUGGUAACGGUUAGAUUGCCACCGUCUAGCUUCCAACCGUCAACAGCUUGUGUGUGUGGUGAUAGUAUCCGGAGGGGGAAUGAGACCCUGGAUAGUACAUCAUCUAUACUGUAGUGUCACCAUAACGAACUUACAGUAUAUGAUGAUAUCCUGUCCAGGGUACAAGACUAACGAACAAUGUCCCAUGAUGACAUUGCCUAAAUGAAUAAACCUGUUGGGGAGAGAAUUAUGGAUAUUACAUAUCAAAUAAAUACACAAACAAAUAUGUACAGAAACAGGGUUGAGUCAAUAUGUUAUCAAUGUGUUAUAACAUAUUCUGAGAAGUCAACCACCCAAGGAAUGAAUACAAUAUGCAUGUUAUAUUACAGAAUGAUAUUUUCUCAGACAACAAAUUCACACAUGAUCCACAUCAAUUUCUUAAUCAAAUCUAUUGAAGUCCUAUUGCAAGACGAACCAAGUUCAGGUCCCACAUUGCAUUAUAUACCGAUACCAUGUACAUGAGUUUUCUUUUUGUAAUUGCUUGUAGUUAACUAAAAGAAACCACUUGCAGAGCAUCUUAAUAGAGGACUUUCUCUAAACCACUAAACAUCAGCUCUCUCCCCUAAUUAUCCCCUUCAAAUGAAGCCCAAUUGACAACUUCAGAGGUUUAGC